UCAUGGCUCAGAACGAAACGUUGGCCGGCCUGGAUUAGGCAUCGCAAGUUGAGCGUACCCAGCAAUGGGGAGCAGGCGUAAGGGGCCAGUAAGGUAUGGGUAUUCUACCCGGGGAUUCGGGGCAUAAGCCUGUAGAGAUACCAGGGUAAUUUCCCGAUGAUGUCGCAAGACCAAAAGCUCCGGGCGUCCCCUGGAGGGAGCCCAUAUGAUAUUACGGUAGGUGGUGGGGUAACGGCCCCACCAUGCCUAAGAUGUCUAGCGGGUGUGAGAGCACGACCCGCGCCACUGGCACUGAGACACUGGCCAGACACCUACGGGUGGCUGCAGUCGAGGAUCUUCGGCAAUGGGCGAAAGCCUGACCGAGCGACGCCGCGUGCGGGAUGAAGGUCUUCGGAUUGUAAACCGCUGUCAGAGGGGAUGAAGUUAUGGUGGGUUCUCCCUCCAUAUUGACAGAGCCUCAGAGGAAGCACGGGCUAAGUAUGUGCCAGCAGCCGCGGUAAUACAUACUGUGCGAACGUUAUUCGGAUUCACUGGGCUAAAGGGUGCGUAGGUGGCCUUGUUAAGUAGGGUGUGAAAGCCCCCAGCUCAACUGGGGAACUGCAUUCUAUACUGGCGAGCUAGAGUGAGAUAGGGGUGUGUGGAACUGCCAGUGGAGCGGUGAAAUGUGUUUGAUAUUGGCAGGAACGCCGGUGGCGAAAGCGACACACUGGGUUCUCAACUGACACUGAGGCCACGAAAGCCAGGGGAGCGAACGGGAAUUAGAUACCCCGGUAGUCCUGGGCCGUAAACGCCUGAGUACUCGUCGGGAGCGGCUUCCGGUUGCUCCAGACUUAGAGAAAUCGUUUAAGUACUCCCCUGGGGAGUAUGGUCGCAAGGCUUGAAACUCAAAAUUAAUUGAAGG
rnacentral:rRNA from 1 species